AGCCGUUUACAGGCAAAUCGAAAGAAUAAAAAAGUACUCAAUUUAGUGCGGCUGAGUAGGCAGGUUUUACCCUCUCCGCGCGCGCGUCCCACUGCCAUUGCCAAGGUUAGAAUAUUAUAUGAACGUACUCGAUCGAAUUAUGUUAGUUGUGUAAUUAUUUUUUGUGAAUAAACAACGUUAUUGUACGCAAAACUAGAGGCGACUUCGAAAUCCAGUUAAUAUUACAGGUUCUAAUGAGAACACCCAUCCGAAGGCAAUGAUCGUGAAAGUUUUUUUUAAUGAUAAGCCAACAUUUUAUGUGGAAUUUAUUAAUUUGUAUGGGUGCAUACCUUAUGAAUAUCCUUUAAGGAGUGCUGCUUUCGUAAUACUAGCGCAACGUAUUUGCAGCGCCAUUUUUAUGAGCGGUUCGUAAAUGUCCGCAAACAAACACAACACCUCAAUGUGCAUUACGAUAAGAAAUGGAAGUGGUUAUCGAAAACUACUGAUAAGCCCCAAAAUACUUCUACGCAUUAAUUUCUCUUUGUCGUUUUGUUCCAGUGCCGCCCUUUUAAGCGAUACGAAACACCAAAUCCAGUUUGGGAGCUUUUUAAAUAAAUACCUACCUUGAA